CGGGGGUUUUCAUUCCCCGCCCAAAUCAGAACCCCGGGUGUCCCCUCGGGAGAGGCUUCCCUCUGCCAUCGGCAUCAAGCAGCUCCCCUGACCACUGACACUCAUCUCUGGCCUUGCUUUGACUCCUUACCUGUUAAACCCCUUUUAAAGCUCACCCUUGCACAGCCAUUGCCCGUGUAAAGCAAACACAGAUCACAUAUGGGCCCAGCAUCACCGUUUUGUCUAUCCACUUUCUCUGUUCUCUGUUUCCACAGUUCUCUGGAGCACUAGGAGAGAGAUGGGCUCUGUCUGCUUUGUAUUCUCUCUGGUUGUCUCAUUUGCCAGAGCCCACAAAGAGCUAAAAAUCAACAGAAACAGUUGCACAGUUGGGUUUCCAAUGCCUCCACUUGAAUUCAGGGUAUCAGUGUCAUAAACAAAAGCAGUACAAACUGAAAGCCAGCCCAAGGCACACAAACAUCUUGUAUUUCUUACAACCAGCUUUCCUUUUCAUCGCUAGAUCAAGACAGCUUCAGGAUUUCAGAGAGACACAAGUCUUACCAUUGGAAAAUCAGUCUGUUUACAUGUUCAUUUCUUUCAAUCUCCUGCUUCUGAGCAAGGUAUGCUGAGUCAUAAAGAGUUUCUUACAUCUUCUAAAAUAAGUAAGGACUACAAAUAUCAAGAAAAUAUAAGUAUGUAUUUUUUUUACUGAGUAGGAAGCGCUCUUAUGAGAACUCAGAAACUUUCAGCAAUAACAGAGGAUGUGACUUUUGGCAAUACCAAAUAUAAACAUCCACAGCACAUGCAAUGCCCUGGCUUCCCUUCCCCUCGCAGAGGAUACAGCAAUGCUGCUUUCUGAAGUCCAACAGGGCAGGAUUCACCAUCACUCCUGGACUGGUUUUCCUCUGGGAUUUUGGUAUCACACAUGUCUUGGUCCAUCUCUGCACUGAAACCAUUUUCUACAAUUUCAGUCUUAAAUUCUUUAUUGUCCAAUUCAACAUCGAUGUAACAGAUCACAGAAUCUAGAUUUACAUCUAUUUUUUGAAGAUGGGCUUCACUCAUGCUGUGGAAGAAAAUUUCAGACAUUUAACAUUUUUAAUUGUUAGCUUUAGAAACAGGAAUGCCAUCAACAUACAUAACAAAAUCUUUGAACCUUAUUAUGAAAACAAAAAUAGACUAAAAUUGGGUGAAGAGAAAAAGGAAAGUCUGAUUUCAAAUUACCUUAAAAAUGUUUUCAGGCAAGCAUAAGUAACUUCUUCGGGAAUAUCUGGAAACCGUUCUAGGCAGAUUUGUAAGAGAUGCAUAUCUUUUUUCUCCAAAGCAACAGCCAUUAAAUCUGGACAUAAACUAUAAGAAUAUUAAAUUAAUAGGCCGCACAGUCCACUCUAAGAACUACACUGACCACUAAGGUAAUAGUACUAAUCUUCCUCCCCAGACAGAUUUUUAUGCAAAACAUCAACUUCAUCAGAAAAUAAGCACCUUUGGUAUUAAAUCUUAAUAAUUCAAGAGCAGCUUAUAAAGAACUUCAUUUCUAUUUUUUUUAAUUUUAAAGACUACUCCUUACACUUUAAAAAAUGCAGAGUCACUACCUGUAGGACAAGUCCCGGGUUUCAGCAAUCUCCUGCAGGAAGUUUCGAGGGUAGUACUUUGGAUUUCUUUUACAUCUGUCUGUAAGGGCAGUGACCACAUAGCCAAUGGUGGCUUGCAGAUCUGGGGUUGGUGCUUUUGCCAUCAGUUUUUUCAAUUCAGUUUCCAAUACAUAAGUAGAUGCAUCCUGGAACAGACAAAUACUGUGCAAAUCAGAAGUACAAGGCACAUGUUUGAGAACUGCCCUGUAGAAGCUGACCUAUUUUGAAAUUCAAGUUACAAAAGUUUACAAAAAUCCCUCACUACUCUGUGUUUUGAUAGGAUAGUUUCUCUCCAACAUGAAAGAGCCAAAUGAGGAAAUUCCUCACUCUGAACUCAGAGCUACAGACUUCUGGGACUGAAAGGAAACCACCAGCUCUUCAUCUUCCAGGGUAUUCCAGUUCACAAACGAGGACACAUCUGGGAACACACAAAUGAAACUACAUGAACAUAACACUUACAGCACAUUUAUUGAAUUGUUUUUUGUGGAAAAAACCUGUUUGAUAUCAUAUGGCAAAAGGACAUCCAAAACCAAAAAUAUCCAGUGAAUGAUGAAAGAAGAAUUAAUACAGGAUAAUUAAAGAACUUAUUAUGAACCAAAGAAGCAAAAUAAAGGUACAACAAUAAAGGUGUAAUGAGACCUCCAGGGUACAAGUGAUCACAGGUAGGAACAGUUUGCUUUUGCAACCAUUAAAGUACCAAUAAUCUUUAAUUACUACUUGUAGCUGUUUAAGGAAGUUUAGAAAACUAAGAAUAUUAAACAGCAAUUCAUAAAUAUGAACAUUUUAUGUCCUUUCAUACAAUUCUUUGCUUCAUUAUCACAACCCAUUAACAAAUUUAACUUACACAAACACAGAAGUGUGACAGUUUGGUUUGUUAUAUGUGCUGUGAAACAUAGUGGCUUGGCUGAUUCCUGUUGUUCAAGCUUGUAUUUGUGUAGACUACUCAGCUUAGGUUUCUGUAUAUAGACAAAAAAAUCCUCAUCCUAAAAGAAAAAUAAGAAAAGAAAAUUUCCCUUAAUUUACACAAAGAAGAUAUAACAGAAAUUCAGAUACCUGUACUGCUUAACUUUGGACAUUGUGCAAAAUUAGGAAACUGUUUUCUAUAGGAUGUACAGAAUCAUUUGGAACAGUCUGGAGACUAACAAGUAAAGACAAUUCUUAUUUGACACAACAAAUGUAUUUGCAGGAAGAAACAUUUGCAGAAAGACAGAUUCAUGUUUAAUUCCUUUUUUAAAAACAUACAUCCUAUUCAAUAGUUCUUCACAAAGAGUGAUGAAGAGUUGCACAAUGUCUACUGUACUUCAUCUUAUUAAUUGUUCUCUGCAGCUCUGACAGCCUGACUUCUCAGCCCUGAAUGCAACACAGCUUCCAUUUAACUGCUGUAUUGACUAAAUCACGAUAAUGAUUCCACUAAAAGCUGUUAAAAUCAAAUUAAACCAGUGAUGGAUUUUGAAAAAAGCACUCAGGUCUCCUGCUAUGAGAGUUUUCAAAAUAAAAAGUAUUUAACUCACUUUCUCAGUAGUGAAAAUUAAGACAGGUUGUUGGCCUUCCAUAAAAGCUCCACUCCACCUAAAAUCAGAAAGCAGGGUGAACAUCCUCCAAAUUCUAGGUUUAUACACAAGUCCUAUCACUAUUCCUGAUGCACCUUCUAAUUUUUAGGAAAUCUCUAUAAAUAACUCCAAGAUUUUAAAAACAAUGUGUUGUAAGAAAACACCCAGCCCCGUGAUCAUGGUCUUUGAUUUCCCCCCAUCUCCUCAAAAGAGGGAACAACUUUCAUCAUCACAGUCGAUUGCUCUGAAGAAGAAUCAUCACAGAGUGGCAUCACUUACCUGAUGACUUCACCUGAGAUGAUGUUUUCAAUCUCCUGCUGAGGGGCUUCCAAGAGCACAUCCAGCGUCCGAACCCCCCCUCCCCUGAACAGCACCAGUGGCCCCCCGUGGGGCAGGGAAUGGAUCCUGUACACAUCUGCUGAGAGCUGCAAGAACAAAACCAAAUCUGUUCUCUGCUACACUACCCUGAACAUGGAGUUCUUUAUUCAUUAUUCUACCUUUUUCCAAUAAACUUUUAACUGAA